rnacentral:rRNA from 1 species
GACAGAGGGUGCGAACGUUGUUCGGAUUUACUGGGCGUAAAGCGUGUGUAGGUGGCUCGCUAAGUCGGUUGUGAAAUCCCCGGGCUCAACCCGGGAACUGCGUCCGAUACUGGCAGGCUUGAAUUCGGGAGAGGGAUGCGGAAUUCCAGGUGUAGCGGUGAAAUGCGUAGAUAUCUGGAGGAACACCGGUGGCGAAGGCGGCAUCCUGGACCGAAAUUGACGCUGAGGCGCGAAAGCCAGGGGAGCAAACGGG